AUGCCGAGCUCCCCACUCGGCGUGCUAGCGGUGUGGGGGUGCUGCACCUCCAGCUGGUGCCCCAAAAGCACGUCCUUGCUGCUCAGCGGGGCCAACUGCAUGAAGGCAGGCCCGAGGCCACCCGCACACGGGGUGCCGCUGGCCAUCACAGUCAUGGUGGUGCUGGUGGUGCCGGUUUGGCGGGUUUGGCACUGGGGCUUGGCGCUGCCCUGGGCCCCCUCCGGCACCCCAGGAGCCACACUGAUGCGCACCACAGCGGGGGCACCAGAGACCCGGCGGGCAUCACGCUGCUGGCCAGCGCCCAUGCUGGCCAUGGCUGUGGUGGCAGUGCUGGUGGUGCCCGUCUCAUGGGUCUCACAGGGCGGGUUGGAGCAGCCACGCUGCCCAGCCAUGUUGGACGUGGCCGUGGUGGCGGUGUUGUACACGUGCAGCUCGUCCACGAUGCCCUCGUUGCCGCCGCCGAACACCACGAUGAGUUCCUUGAUGGCCACGGCGCGGUGGCCGUGGCGGGGCCGGGGCACGGGGCCCGACCAGCCCACGACCCGCUUCCAGCGGGGCUGCAGGAGCACAGCCGGGGAGCCGGCGGGCGGCACGGCCGAAGCCAUGGCGCGGGGAGCGCGCGGCGGCAGUCGUCGGCGGAAAGGGCGUCUGGGCUCCGCGUACACACCCCCUCGCUUUCGGGCAGCGCUCGCGGGGCAGCGGCUCCUCACACAGUGCUGGACGGCUCCAUGGAGGCCGCCAUCUUAACUACCGUCCGUCCCCGUCGCUCUUCCCUGCCUGCUUGCGCGUCCCGUCCUCUCGAGAGCUUGCGGACGCCGGGGGUCGCCCAGGCCCGCGAAGGUGCGGGCCGCCGAGUGCCGCCGCCCUGAGUCUUCGCCCAGGUGUCGCGGCUCACAAGCUCAGGCGGGAGGCCCUGGGAGCCGCCAUCUUGAGCCGCCUCUCUCUCCUCCCUUCCUCAGUCGUAGCCCUUCCCCGCCGGAAAUGGCGGAGCCCCGGCCCGGUUCCCACCCCCCAAGUCCCCAGCACUGGCCGGCUUCCGGGGCGGGUGGAAAGGAGCCACAGGCGCAGCGCUCGUCGUAGCCCCUACGGUGCUCAGACCACAAUUGUGGGAGCCGCCAUCUUGAGACCGUCCCGCUUCCCCGCCCAGUGCUCAGCACGGCCGACGCUCCCAAAACGGCCGCGACACCCCAAGGAAAGGAGGCACGCCGUAAGCCUGUGCAAGCAGCUCCAACUCUCCGGGACUACUGGGAAUUCGCGCCGUACGGCUCGUGAGGUCUCGCGCCUCUCCCUCGAGUCCGCCUCUGCUGCUCAGACUGCGCCUGCCGCCCUGGGAGCCGCCAUCUUGAGACUAGCUCCCCCUUCCCCCCCUAUUCUCUUCCUCCUGGGUCAGUUCUUCCACUGCAGACCAAACGCAAGGCAACGUCCAAUCCUCGCUUCCCUCUUUAUGACUCCGUCCCACAGGAGCCGCUCCAAAAAGCCCGAGUUAGGCCCAGAAGUGGCAACUGUACGGCAGGAGGAGCAGUAACGGCAGGGCGCUCAUGCCUCCUCCCUGGGAGCCGCCAUCUUGUGUGCAGAAGUAACAACUAAACAUGGCGGCGGCGGUCGGGCGAGGGGGCGGGGCCGGGCGACGUCACCGCUCCCCGCCCUCGCAUCAAUUCGUCUUUGGGGCCAAGCCUCUCACAGGACCUCUGCGCUGCCUUGCGGUAGGGGGAGUGGGCAGCGCUGCACACAUGCCUAGGGCUCCAGCCCCACUGCGCUGGAGUCAGGUGCAGGCACGCCUCGCCCCAAGGCCCCCCAGAGCUCGCCUCCACGCCUCCGCCCUGGGAGCUGCCAUCUUGCCACUUCCCCUCGCCCGGCCAUCCACAGGCGUCAAUAGCGACUUUCAGCACAAAACAAAAAUGGCGGCGGCGGUAUCUGGGGGUGCCCGGAUGGGAAUGUUACCUCCCCCCAUACACGCAUUCAGACCCGCCCCCGGAAGUCUCCCGGGCAGCUUGAGACACAUUCCAGAAGAGGUGUUUUUAAGCAGUAGUGGGGACAGGGACACGCGGUAGCAAAGAACACGGCAGUAAUGCCCGCAGACGAGGAGCAGCCACUUUCCCGCCCAGCACGGUCAGCAGGCACGGGCGGUGGGCAGGGCGAGAAUGGGCGGUGACGCAACUGAGCGCACGCGCCCGGGGGCGGAGCUGCCAC
rnacentral:lncRNA from 1 species